rnacentral:rRNA from 1 species
UACGGGGGGGGCAAGCGUUGUUCGGAAUUACUGGGCGUAAAGGGCUCGUAGGUGGCCAACUAAGUCAGACGUGAAAUCCCUCGGCUCAACCGGGGAACUGCGUCUGAUACUGGAUGGCUUGAGUUCGGGAGAGGGAUGCGGAAUUCCAGGUGUAGCGGUGAAAUGCGUAGAUAUCAGGAGGAACACCGGUGGCGAAGGCGGGUCUCUGGGCCGAUACUGACGCUGAGGAGCGAAAGCGUGGGGAGCGAACAGG